UAAAACGUGCGGUCAAGAUCCCUCAUAUAUCUAAAACGUGAUAACGAUGCCCUUCCGUUAACUUCCGCUAGGUUCCGUCUGUUGACCAAACGGAAAUGCUGACGUGUCACUUAUUUAAUUCAUGAAAUAUAGGCUAAUAAUUUGUGACGGAAAUAUUCCGUCACAAAACCCUUCAGCCAACACCUCACUCUCACUCUCCCUCUCCCUCUCGUGUUUUUCUCCUCUCCCUCACACAUCAUCUUCUUCAUUUUUCUUUACCCUUUCCUCUGCAACCCAACACACCAUGGCAGCACCCUUCUCCUCUAUUCAUCACCCUCUUCAUACUACUCUUCUUCAUUCCUUGGCUGAACCACCACCUCCACGCACGCAACAACCACCGUUGGCCACAACCAUGAAGCUCUGCCCCUGCAAAUGGUCCAACGACCACCACCAGAGCCGCGACCACCACCUGUCAAUCGCAUGCUCCUCCCCCUGUCCCAGCGAACACCGGCGCUCCAACACCACCUCCCGAUUCGAAGAAAAUCGACACAAAAUAGAGGAUAUGAAACCUUACCGCCACCACCUUCUCGCCCCGAUUUCAGAGCCGUCCGACCUCCAAUGGAAAAAUCAACACCAUGGUUAGACUCCCCUUGAAGCCAGCUUCAAAACCCCUCAACCAAUUUGAUGUUCGGUCGUCGUCACUCCGGCGACCGCCACCGACGUCUUCUCCGGCGAGCAUCGUCCUUAAAAUUAAGGGCAGGUUAUGAGUGGUUGCGUCUCAGUUUGCUGGGGUGGGGUUGUUGGGAAAAAAAGAGAGGAAGAAGUUCUCUAAGGGUGGGGGUGAGGGAGGUUGUUGGGUGGUGGAAGUCUCUCCAACGAGCUCAACGACGAGGCGAGAGGACCGAAACGGGUGUGGCUCAACGGCGGUGGAAGCCAAAACAGAAAAGAGGAUUUCAUGGUGUCUCGGCAUUGGGGUUUGCAGGUCGUUGAGUUUGGCUGGGAUGGAGGUGAGUUCUUGGGGCUGUUCAAAGGUUGAAGGAAGGUAAAUUUGGUGGUGAUUUGGAGACCGAGGGAAAGGGGAUGGCUUUGACUAAUUUGGAGGAGGUCACGACACUUUCUCAUUAGAAAGAAAAUUAUACAUUUUAUACCAGAUGUUGAUGCGGCUGCUAUUGAAUCAACUGAGGAAUUUUGAGUCUUUGUCUCCCCUUGCUUGUGAGAUGGUGAUGAAUUUGUCAUAAUUACAUCAGCUUCACCAUCAGUAGCAGAUUUCUUUAAAAGGGACUGCUCUUCCAAUUGCUCAUGGCUUGCCUUGCGCUUAAGAGUUGAAGAGGUAAGGACUCUAGCAUUGGUCUUCCAGACAGCUUAAGGGAGAGGAGAUGGUAAUGUAGGGAACAUCUUGAGUCGAUCAUACCUUGAGCACUUUUCUCUGUUUAUCAUGGAAAAUUAUAUCUUCAUCUUAUUCAUUCUAAUCCUUGAGUGUAUAGGAUUUGGAAUGUAAAAGUGGGUUUUCUUAUUGAUUCUAUGAGUUUUAUUUUUUUAGGAGUACAAAAAAUGGUUCAAUCAGCGUGAAGAUUGGUUUUUUAUGAGGCAAAAUGCAAGAUUUCUCAACCUCCUCCAGGAUUUUCAGACGGAAGGAUGAAGAGUUUUCUAAGGUGAAAAUGAGUGUGAAAAAAUGGGUUGCAGUGAUGGUGAUGUGGUGCGGGGGUUAGUGGUUCUAGAUUUUGUGUUAAAAGAAGUUGUGUUUCUGGAAUUUUGUUGAAGGAGUUUGUGUUUCUGGAUUUUAUUUUUGAUUCCAAGUUUGUGUUUCUGUAUUGUGUUGAGGGGGGUUGUAUUUUUGGAUUGGUUGGAAGAGGCCUGUGUUUGUGACGGAUUAUUUCUGUCACCAAUUUGCUUUUCAGAAUUAAUGAAUUUAGUCAGGGACUUUCGUUUAGUCAACUGACGGAACUUAACGGAAGGGCCUCAGCAGAUCGUUCUAGAAUCAUGAGGGACCUUGACCGCACAUUUCAAACACAGGGGGUGCAGAUCGCACAUUUGUGAAACAUCAGGGACCCAAACUGGAAUUAAGCCUAA